UACGAAGGGGGCUAGCGUUGCUCGGAAUUACUGGGCGUAAAGGGCGCGUAGGCGGCGUGACAAGUCACUUGUGAAAUCUCCGGGCUUAACUCGGAGCGGCCAAGUGAUACUGUCGUGCUAGAGUGCGGAAGGGGCUACUGGAAUUCUCGGUGUAGCGGUGAAAUGCGUAGAUAUCGAGAGGAACACCUGCGGCGAAGGCGGGUAGCUGGGCCGACACUGACGCUGAGGCGCGAAAGCUAGGGGAGCAAACAGG
rnacentral:rRNA from 1 species